rnacentral:rRNA from 1 species
AACGAAGAUCCAGCUUGCUGGAUCUUAGUGGCGAACGGGUGAGUAAUACAUAAAUAAUCUGCCCAUUGGACUGGGAUAACUGUUGGAAACGAUAGCUAAUACCGGAUAGGUGAUUUGAAGGCAUCUUCGAAUCAUUAAAGUAGGGUCACUACACCAAUGGAUGAGUUUAUGGCGCAUUAGUUAGUUGGCGGGGUAACGGCCCACCAAGACGAUGAUGCGUAGCCGACCUGAGAGGGUGACCGGCCACACUGGGACUGAGACACGGCCCAGACUCCUACGGGAGGCAGCAGUAGGGAAUUUUCGGCAAUGGGCGCAAGCCUGACCGAGCAACGCCGCGUGAGUGAUUAAGGCCUUCGGGUUGUAAAGCUCUGUUGUAAGGGAAGAACAUUCAGGAUAGGAAAUGAUCUUGAACUGACGGUACCUUACCAGAAAGCCACGGCUAACUACGUGCCAGCAGCCGCGGUAAUACGUAGGUGGCAAGCGUUAUCCGGAAUUAUUGGGCGUAAAGGGUGCGUAGGCGGUUUAUUAAGUCUAUGGUGAAAGUGCGGGGCUCAACCCCGUAUGGCCAUAGAAACUAGUAGACUUGAGUGCAGGAGAGGGCAAUGGAAUUCCACGUGUAGCGGUAAAAUGCGUAGAUAUGUGGAGGAACACCAGUGGCGAAGGCGGUUGCCUGGCCUGUAACUGACGCUGAGGCACGAAAGCGUGGGGAGCAAAUAGGAUUAGAUACCCUAGUAGUCCACGCUGUAAACGAUGAAUACUAAGUGUUGGAGAAAUUCAGUGCUGCAGUUAACGCAAUAAGUAUUCCGCCUGGGGAGUAUGCACGCAAGUGUGAAACUCAAAGGAAUUGACGGGACCCCGCACAAGCGGUGGAUUAUGUUGUUUAAUUCGACGCAACGCGAAGAACCUUACCAGGCCUUGACAUACUCGGCAAAGCUCU